rnacentral:rRNA from 1 species
UGGGAUUACCUUAGUAACGGCGAGUGAAGCGGUAAAAGCUCAAAUUUGAAAUCUGGUACUUUCAGUGCCCGAGUUGUAAUUUGUAGAAUUUGUCUUUGAUUAGGUCCUUGUCUAUGUUCCUUGGAACAGGACGUCAUAGAGGGUGAGAAUCCCGUUUGGCGAGGAUACCUUUUCUCUGUAAGACUUUUUCGAAGAGUCGAGUUGUUUGGGAAUGCAGCUCAAAGUGGGUGGUAAAUUCCAUCUAAAGCUAAAUAUUGGCGAGAGACCGAUAGCGAACAAGUACAGUGAUGGAAAGAUGAAAAGAACUUUGAAAAGAGAGUGAAAAAGUACGUGAAAUUGUUGAAAGGGAAGGGCAUUUGAUCAGACAUGGUGUUUUUUGCAUGCACUCGCCUCUCGUGGGCUUGGGCCUCUCAAAAAUUUCACUGGGCCAACAUCAAUUCUGGCAGUAGGAUAAAUCAUUAAGAAUGUAGCUACCUCGGUAGUGUUAUAGCUUAUUGGAAUACUGCUAGCUGGGAUUGAGGACUGCGCUUCGGCAAGGAUGUUGGCAUAAUGGUUAAAUGCCGCCCG